rnacentral:rRNA from 1 species
AACGAACGCUGGCGGCAGGCUUAACACAUGCAAGUCGAACGGGUGUAGCAAUACAUCAGUGGCAGACGGGUGAGUAACACGUGGGAACCUUCCUAGGGGUACGGAACAACUCAGGGAAACUUGAGCUAAUACCGUAUACGUCCGUGAGGAGAAAGAUUUAUCGCCCUUAGACGGGCCCGCGUCGGAUUAGGUAGUUGGUGGGGUAACGGCCUACCAAGCCUGCGAUCCGUAGCUGAUCUGAGAGGAUGGUCAGCCACACUGGGACUGAGACACGGCCCAGACUCCUACGGGAGGCAGCAGUGGGGAAUCUUGGACAAUGGGCGCAAGCCUGAUCCAGCCAUGCCGCGUGAGUGGAGAAGGCCUUAGGGUUGUAAAGCUCUUUUACCAGGGACGAUAAUGACGGUACCUGGAGAAUAAGCCCCGGCAAACUUCGUGCCAGCCGCCGCUGUAACAC